UACAGGGGGUGCAAACGUUGCUCGGAAUCACUGGGCGUAAAGCGCACGUAGGCGGAUCUUUAAGUCAGAGGUGAAAAUCCCAAGGCUCAACCUUGGAACUGCCUUUGAUACUGGGGAUCUCGAGUCCGGGAGAGGUGAGCGGAACUGCGAGUGUAGAGGUGAAAUUCGUAGAUAUUCGCAAGAACACCAGUGGCGAAGGCGGCUCACUGGCCCGGUACUGACGCUGAGGUGCGAAAGCGUGGGGAGCAAACAGG
rnacentral:rRNA from 1 species